UUUAGGCUUUAAUUUUACUUUUAUACAUAUGAGAGAAUAUAUAUAGUUUUGGAGAUACACUAAUGAAAAGACAUGACUCUGCCUUAGGGAGUUUGUAGCCUGGAGGAUGUCAGCAAACAAUAUAUACACAAUCAGGAUGUAACAUGGUCAACUCAGAGUCCUAUUGGCAGGACUACAGUAUAUCCCCAGAUGCCACCAGAUCCAUGCCCAGAUUCCAUGGGAUGCAAACUCAACAGAAAGAUCUCUUUCUGAUCAGUAUGCCCAAAGAUUGAUUUUUUUCCUUGGGCUAAUGGAGACAAAUGGCUGAGACUGAAUCAAAAGCACUAUGCCAGAGGAACCCAUUUCUUUUGUCUCUCAGCCCUGGAGCUGGCUUAACAGAAGAUGGAGGAGGAAUUGACAGAAAUCUAAGCAAAAGGAGGGAGUGUGUAGGGGGGUCAGGUUCCCCAAGGAAAGUCAGGCACUGUGACUAGAGGUAAGAGGAAUAGACGAUGGAGAGAGUGAAAGAGCAGCAGUCCCUGAAGCCACAGUAUGGCUGUGGGGCUUCUUCCAACGGGCAGUGAGACCACUAAACUAUGUGCAUGAGAUAAUUUCUUGUGGAGACAAUGAUGGAAAGCAGCAUCCUAAAAGACAAGGACACUGACUUAGAAGCAGUUGCAUUAAUUCAUAUAUUGGUAACAUAUUGUUGCUGAAAUCAAGCUAGUGUCACUACAAAUAAAAAAUACUUGGUAAAUCUGAACCAUAAUAAGAUGGCAGAACCUAGGUAACUGGUUACAGAUGGAAGCAUUUUAGGUGAGGGGGUUCUGGUGAGAGGGGUGGGGAAGUUGAAUGUGACUUCCAGGUUUAAUGUUUGGGCAACUAAGUGAAUAGUGGCUAUUGACUAGGGCCCCAGGAGCAGACGCAGCUCUAAGGAAGGGCAGGGUGAGUUCAGUUAUUUUAAUAUGCGAUAUCUGAGUACAGUGGAUUAGUAGGUACCUAGAGUUCCUAGUUAGAAGCCCAGGGAAAGACCCAGUAUAUGUACCAUUCAUGUUGGAGCCCUGCUAAGCAAGGAGAUAGAAUGGUGAAAAAGACCUAUUUGUGGUUUUCAAAGAGCUAGUAAGUCAUGGGGCAAAGGCUGUGUACACAAAUGAUAGGCUAUGGACACACAAAGGAGUCCCCUUACCCUGCCCUAGAAUUACCUCAAGAACCAGGGAAAACUUUCCUUAUGCUAAAACCUUGAGGAUUAGUCAGAGGCAAAAUGCUUUCAGACAGAUGAGACAGAGUAAAUUAAUUUGCUAUGUCAUAAUAUUAUCUAGAAAUCUUUGUUUUCCCAAUUGGCCUAUAUA